rnacentral:misc_RNA from 1 species
AACGCACAUUGCGCCCCGUGGUAUUCCGCGGGGCAUGCCUGUUCGAGCGUCAUUUCACCACUCAAGCCUGGCUUGGUAUUGGGCGUCGCGGAGCUGAUCCGCGCGCCUUGAAGUCUUCCGGCUGAGCCGUCCGUCUCUAAGCGUUGUGGCAUCACGUCUCGCUUGGGAGCUCGGGCGGUCGCGGCCGUUAAACACCCCAUCAAAGGUUGACCUCGGAUCAGGUAGGGAUACCCGCUGAACUUAA